AAGACUAUAGACCUGCGGAGUACCUGCGGAAGGAUCAUUAUCGCAUUGUAACAAUUGGGGGGGCCACCGUGGGCUGUCGCUGACCCUUUGAAAGGGGGGUCGUGCACGCCCCCAUAGUGUCAUCCUCAUACAAUCCAACUCACCUCUGUGCAUCACCGCGUGGGUUCCUUUCUGGGUCGAGUCAGACUGGCUCAGAAAAAAGGGGCUUGCGUUUUCCAUACAAAUACCCUUAUAAAUCCA
rnacentral:misc_RNA from 1 species